AGUCGAGCGGAUGACGGGAGCUUGCUCCCUGAAUUCAGCGGCGGACGGGUGAGUAAUGCCUAGGAAUCUGCCUAUUAGUGGGGGACAACGUUUCGAAAGGAACGCUAAUACCGCAUACGUCCUACGGGAGAAAGCAGGGGACCUUCGGGCCUUGCGCUAAUAGAUGAGCCUAGGUCGGAUUAGCUAGUUGGUGAGGUAAUGGCUCACCAAGGCGACGAUCCGUAACUGGUCUGAGAGGAUGAUCAGUCACACUGGAACUGAGACACGGUCCAGACUCCUACGGGAGGCAGCAGUGGAGAAUAUUGGACAAUGGGCGAAAGCCUGAUCCAGCCAUGCCGCGUGUGUGAAGAAGGUCUUCGGAUUGUAAAGCACUUUAAGUUGGGAGGAAGGGCAUUAACCUAAUACGUUAGUGUUUUGACGUUACCGACAGAAUAAGCACCGGCUAACUCUGUGCCAGCAGCCGCGGUAAU
rnacentral:rRNA from 1 species